rnacentral:lncRNA from 1 species
GAGGGCGAUUGUCCUCUUCUUCUUCAUAUUUUUUUCUUGAUGUUGUUUCAUGCUUAGCUCGUGUGUCAUUAGCGAUCCUAGAAACUCCUCCAAGGGUAAAAUAUUUAGAUCUUUGACUUCUUGGAUUGCGGUCACUUUGGCCUCCCACGUCUUUUGUAAAGAUCUAAAAAUCUUUCUCAUAAGAUCGCUGUUAGAGUAAGACUUAUCAAGAUUUUUUAGACCAUUAAUAAUAUCUGUAAAAUGAGUAAACAUUUCAGUUAUUGAUUCAUCAUGCUCUAUUUUAA